rnacentral:rRNA from 1 species
AGUGAACGCUGGCGGUAGGCCUAACACAUGCAAGUCGAACGGCAGCACAGGAGAGCUUGCUCUCUGGGUGGCGAGUGGCGGACGGGUGAGGAAUACAUCGGAAUCUACUCUGUCGUGGGGGAUAACGUAGGGAAACUUACGCUAAUACCGCAUAAGACCUACGGGUGAAAGCCGGGGAACUUCGGACCUUGCUCGAUUGAAUGAGCCGAUGUCGGAUUAGCUAGUUGGCGGGGUAAAGGCCCACCAAGGCGACGAUCCGUAGCUGGUCUGAGAGGAUGAUCAGCCACACUGGAACUGAGACACGGUCCAGACUCCUACGGGAGGCAGCAGUGGGGAAUAUUGGACAAUGGGCGCAAGCCUGAUCCAGCCAUACCGCGUGGGUGAAGAAGGCCUUCGGGUUGUAAAGCCCUUUUGUUGGGAAAGAAAUCCAGCUGGCUAAUACCCGGUUGGGAUGACGGUACCCAAAGAAUAAGCACCGGCUAACUUCGUGCCAGCCGCCGCCGUAA